UGAUACUAAGCCAUGCGAGUCAUUGUAGUAAUACAAGGCAGACGGCUCAGUAACGCGUAGUCAACCUACCCUAUGGACGGGAAUAACCUCGGGAAACUGAGUAUAAUGCCCGAUAGAACACUAUACCUGGAAUGGUUUGUGUUCCAAAUGAAUGUCGCCGUAGGAUGGGACUGCGGCCUAUCAGUUUGUUGGUGAGGUAAUGGCCCACCAAGACUAUUACAGGUACGGGCUCUGAGAGGAGUAGCCCGGAGAUGGGUACUGAGACACGGACCCAGGCCCUAUGGGGCGCAGCAGGCGAGAAAACUUUGCAAUGUGCGAAAGCACGACAAGGUUAAUCCGAGUGGUUUGUGCUAAACGAACCUUUUGACAGUCCUAGAAACACUGUUGAAUAAGGGGUGGGCAAGUUCUGGUGUCAGCCGCCGCGGUAAAACCAGCACCUCAAGUGGUCAGGAUGAUUAUUGGGCCUAAAGCAUCCGUAGCCGGCUCUGUAAGUUUUCGGUUAAAUCUGUACGCUCAACGUACAGGCUGCCGGGAAUACUGCAGAGCUAGGGAGUGGGAGAGGUAGACGGUACUCGGUAGGAAGGGGUAAAAUCCUUUGAUCUAUUGAUGACCACCUGUGGCGAAGGCGGUCUACCAGAACACGUCCGACGGUGAGGGAUGAAAGCUGGGGGAGCAAACCGGAUUAGAUACCCGGGUAGUCCCAGCUGUAAACUAUGCAAACUCAGUGAUGCAUUGGCUUGUGGCCAAUGCAGUGCUGCAGGGAAGCCGUUAAGUUUGCCGCCUGGGAAGUACGUACGCAAGUAUGAAACUUAAAGGAAUUGGCGGGG
rnacentral:rRNA from 1 species